UGUUGUUUAAGUAUUGUCAAAUAUACUGCGAAAAAUUGUAUUUAUUAAUAUUUUUGGCCAAAAACUUCAGUUUAUCGGAAUUUAUUAAACAAUGUUUAUAACUUUGAGCGAUCUCAAUAAUUAAUUUCACUAUGUGAUAUUCAAAACCUAUUAACUUUUUGUGUUGUGUUUUCUAACCUACAUGGUUUCGUUUAAAAUAUUAUUGUUGUGAUUGCUGUGUUGUAAUGAAAUAAUUGAAAUGAAAUUAUAUUAUCUCAUAGUUCUAGUGAUAAUCUUGAAUGUGAAUUAAGUGGGAGAAGCGGCUGGCAGUUAUUGGCGAGAAUAUGGAAUAUCGAUUUAUUCCGACGAAUCGAGGUAAACACCUGUUGAUGCUGAAAGGUUACACGUAUUCACAAAUAAAGUCCACCAAUAAUUAUUACUGCUCAAAGAGACGGACUGGAAACUGUAAGGCCAGAGUGAAAUUGAAUGAUGAAGGUGUAGUUAUUUGCGCUGAUUUAAAUCACACGCACACUAAACCGCACUAUGUUCAUCUACUGGGGAGUUGUGGAAGACAUGCCUAGCUACCAGUUCCUAGAGUCGGGGAGAGGAGGGCAACUGGUCAUGCUAGAUGGUUAUACAUAUUCACGACGUACUAAUUCUAGAAACUUCUAUUGUUCCAAAAAAGACCGAGGCUGUAAAGCCGCUGUCAAAAUAGACAAUGAUGGCGUGUUGACUGUCAAAGAAUCCUACCACCCUCACCCACGACCAAAGUACUUUUUGAAGAAGAAUGGAUUGCGCUGUUAAACAUACAUUUAUUCGAACCCUUAAAGCUUUAUUGCUGAUGGUGGAUGGGUAUACGUUCGCGAAACAUUCGCAGAGCGACCGUUAUUACUGUUCGAAAAAAAACUCCGGCUGCAAGGCAAGGGUAAAGAUGACCAAAAAUGCUAAUGCUAUAGUGGGCUGCGAUGAUAUCGUGCACACUCAUCCACCGCCUAAACUUAUGAAGACAGCUUCAGGGAUAUAUAUUAAAUUAUAGUUAUACAUAUUACACUAACAACAUAUUGUUUUUAAAUAUAACAAUACAAAUCCUCUGUACCAAGAAAAACAUAUAUAUAUAAUAAUAUUUUUUUAAAAUGAUUCGUCAUUGUGUAUGUUUCAAAAGCUUUUAAGAUUUAGAUAAAUUUAAAUAAGUAUAUGUGAAAAAUGCUGUGCUCAGCGAUAGUUCGAAAAACCUAAAUUUGCUUACGAAUGACGGUGAUUUGAAAAUUUAAGGUGAAAAAGGUAAACUGAUCAUUUAAAAACAAAUUGAAAAUCUAAAUAUACUCCAUGGUUAAACGGGAAAGGCGCUAAAAUUAGGCUGUAGGACAAAUGGGAUAUGGAUAGUCCGUUUGCCAAAUAUCUGUCAACCACAAAUACUUUGUGACAUCUGUCAUUUCUAUAAAACUACUUCGAAUAUGGAACAAAUGUCAAUGUCAACUUCAGUUUUGACAGAAAGAGUUCAUGGAAACGGAUUACAUAACUUGGAUAUUUAAAUAUAUAUAUAUUUCUUGUAAUAAUAAUAUUUUUUGCAUUAAAUAUACAUCAUUGCAGUACUA